GACGAACGCUGGCGGCGUGCUUAACACAUGCAGGUCGAACGAUGAAGCCUAGCUUGCUAGGUGGAUUAGUGGCGAACGGGUGAGUAAUACGUGAGUAACCUACCUUUAACUCUGGGAUAAGCCCGGGAAACUGGGUCUAAUACCGGAUACGACCAAUCUCCGCAUGGGGUGUUGGCGGAAAGCGUUAUGUAGUGGUUAUAGAUGGGCUCACGGCCUAUCAGCUUGUUGGUGAGGUAACGGCUCACCAAGGCGACGACGGGUAGCCGGCCUGAGAGGGUGACCGGCCACACUGGGACUGAGACACGGCCCAGACUCCUACGGGAGGCAGCAGUGGGGAAUAUUGCACAAUGGGCGCAAGCCUGAUGCAGCGACGCCGCGUGAGGGAUGACGGCCUUCGGGUUGUAAACCUCUGUUAGCAGGGAAGAAGAGAGAUUGACGGUACCUGCAGAGAAAGCGCCGGCUAACUACGUG
rnacentral:rRNA from 1 species